rnacentral:rRNA from 1 species
UAAUACGAAGGGUGCAAGCGUUAAUCGGAAUUACUGGGCGUAAAGCGUGCGUAGGUGGUUCGUUAAGUCUGUUGUGAAAGCCCUGGGCUCAACCUGGGAAUGGCGAUGGAUACUGGCGAGCUAGAGUACGGUAGAGGAUGGUGGAAUUCCCGGUGUAGCGGUGAAAUGCGUAGAGAUCGGGAGGAACAUCAGUGGCGAAGGCGGCCAUCUGGACCAGUACUGACGCUGAGGCACGAAAGCGUGGGGAGCAAACAGGAUUAGAUACCCUGGUAGUCCACGCCCUAAACGAUGCGAACUGGACGUUGGGCACAAUUUGGUGCUCAGUGUCGAAGCUAACGCGUUAAGUUCGCCGCCUGGGGAGUACGCUCGCAAGAGUG